GACGAACGCUGGCGGCGUGCUUAACACAUGCAAGUCGAACGGAAAGGCCCUGCUUUUGUGGGGUGCUCGAGUGGCGAACGGGUGAGUAACACGUGAGUAACCUGCCCUUGACUUUGGGAUAACUUCAGGAAACUGGGGCUAAUACCGGAUAGGAGCUCCUGCUGCAUGGUGGGGUUGGGAAAGUUUCGGCGGUUGGGGUGGGACUCGCGGCUUAUCGGCUUUUGGGUGGGGUAGUGGCUUACAAGGGCUUUGACGGGUAGCCGGCCUGAGAGGGUGACCGGCCACAUUGGGACUGAGAUACGGCCCAGACUCCUACGGGGGGCAGCAGUGGGGAAUAUUGCACAAUGGGCGGAAGCCUGAUGCAGCAACGCCGCGUGCGGGAUGACGGCCUUCGGGUUGUAACCCGCUUUCGCCUGUGACGAAGCGUGAGUGACGGUAAUGGGUAAAGAAGCACCGGCUAACUACGUG
rnacentral:rRNA from 1 species